GGUACACAUUGCUGUUGAAGAUGAUUAUUUGUUGCAAAUUUUACAUGUUUAAUCAAUUUUUAUAGAAAUCUAUGAAAUUCAAUCACAAGGUUUAUAAUCUCAACAGAAAGGUUGGUAUUGAUUUUUGGGGUUAUGGUCCCAACAGUUUAGGAAUAAGGGUCCAAAAAGGGCCUUAAUAAGCAUAUUUCUAGUUUCAAGAGUCCAGACAAUACCUUGUGGAACUGUGCAUAUAUCUCUCUGACAUUAUACCACAAGUUUCCGUACCACAAAGGGAUGGUUAGGAUUGGCUUUGGGGGGGGUUUAUGACUCAACCCCUUUAGGAAUAAGUGGGAGAACAAGGGCUUACUGUUUAAUGGACAAUAACUUUUAAGUACUAUGUUGUAUUUGAACUACCUCCCUUAUACUGCUUAUAUAUAUAUAAAUCAUGUUUAAAGAAA
rnacentral:lncRNA from 1 species